CAAAAAAAAAAACAAGUACCUUAUUAAAACACGUGCACGAUAUCAAUUUAAUAAAUUAACUAUUUAAAAAAAAUAAACGUUUUAUUCAAGGUUCUUGAUAAAUUAGUAUCGGUAAUGAAAAUUUUGAGAUGUUGGAAAAGGAUCCGCGCCACCCUCUUGAUUUGGAUUUUUGAAUGCUUCAAAAAUACACAUACCAAUAAAUACAUAUAUAUACAAAGAUAGAAAUCAUUAUAUAGGUAUUACCGGUUAUUAGAAUGAGAUGCUUAUUUAGAGUUUUAUAGUAAAUUAUUUUUAUUAUCGGUUUCUAUUCCCAUUCUGGAUGUUCUACAAUCAGCGACAUUAAGUACCCGGGUCGUAUUGCCCUGGGCUUGAUAUUUCGGUACUUCUACUUUGGAACCGUUGAGCCGAGGGCAACAUUCUCUAAAUGCUCUUUCAGAAUCCACAAUUGCCCCCGUCUAGAAUUAAUAUUUAAUUAAUUAUCAUCAAUUAAAAAUACAAAACUAAUUUUGUGGAUAACUCAAUAAAUAAAUAAUAUUUUUAAUAUUUAUCUCUCUCAUUAAAUUGCUUCCCUUUUUUUUACUGUCACUACAGUACCAUAUUACAGCGAAAGGUCAUUUAUUAAAUAAGUCAUUAGCAACCAUUUAAUCUUGUAUCGUUGUGAGUGCAAGUGAUCUGCAUCUCGUACGAAUAUAUAAAAUUACUAAUUCUGAUUUAUUUCGUUCGACUUGAAAAAUUCCAACUUUAACACGCCUUUUUUUUUAUUGGAAAGAGGAUAUUGAAAGUUUCAAAAACAACAAUAAACUGAUCGAUUAAAAACAAUGGAAAAUUAUACUAAAAAAUGCAACUGCACACGAGCCUGUAUGUUUCAAUGUCUGGGUUUAGACGGACUUGAAAAAAUUUGUAUGGGAGCUGGACAUCAAUUCAGCUUGCUGCAAGAUUAUUUAAAAAUACGAUCUGAUAUUGAACCGACGCUACCAACCGGUAGUAAAUUCAGUGAAAUCAAUUUAGAUAUUAACGAAUACCGUGCAUUUAUUAUCUGCAAAAUAUAUCUCCUGGUUUCUGGACAUCGAAAAAUGUGAUGGUGCACAGAAACUUCUAAAGAACACUGAAUAUCAAAAAAUGUAUUGGGCAGCCAGAGAACCAAAUUCUGAAUCUAUAGAAAAAAUAUUUAGUAUCGGUAGUGACAAUCUUGAGUUGCUGCGUGAUAAUCAUCACCACCCUAUUGAUAUCGAUUUUUAAAUACUUGAAAAAUACACAUAUCGAUAAAUAUAUGUAAUAUAAAUUAAAUAAAACUUGCUGGUAAUUUACAUCUGCGAUAUUAAUUGUUUUUUGGACACACC